AGCACCGGCCGCAGCCGUUCGAAAGACUGAGAAAUGCCGGAGUACAGGGAGUCGGGUAUUAGAGGCAGAGAAUUGACUGACGGGAAACUCAAACCAAACCACAUCAAGAUCUGACAGUCAUGUGAUUCAUCAGGACCUGAAUAUCAUCAAACUUUUAAUGUGGAAGGGUAUUAGGUGGAGAGGAUUUGCAGUCGAGCAGCUCAAACCAAUCAUCACACCAGGAUCUGACAGAGUUGUCCAAUUUAUCAUAACCUAAAUAUCAUUGAAUUUUGAACAUGGAAGGAAAAAGCACCAUUCACAGUGGAGGGAAACCGUACACGUGUUCUGUUUGUGGACGAGGCUUCAACCAAUCAUCUGACCUGGCAAAACAUAAAUGCAAUCACAACGGGAUGAAACCGUGGAAAUGUGCGGAUUGUGGGAAGGGAUUCAAAUCCCCGUCUGACCUGGAAAGUCAUUGGCGCACUCACACUGGGGAGAAACCAUUCACCUGCUCCAGGUGUGGGAAGGGAUUCACUCGUUCAUCCUAUCUGCUGACACACCAGCGAGUUCACACUGAAGUGAGACCUUUUAAAUGUCUGGA